AGGUUGGAAUUUUUGAUGUAAGAUUGAUUCUGUCUUUUUAGAUUAGUUAAUUGAUAAUAUUAAAUAUGAGUUUUUGCGGGUGAUUAAUUUAUCUAAAGGGUAAUUUUAUUUUAUUUGUAGUUUUUGAUUUUGUUGUUGUCACAUAGUUGUGGACUCAGUUAAUUUUUUUAGGGCUGUUAAAAGUUGUGCCAGCAAACGCGGUUAUACAUCUGGCUCUAGCUAAUUUUUUUGGCUAUUAUUAAUUUUUUAUUAUUGGACUUUAGUUUAUUUUUUUAGGUGAAAUUUUUAAAAUAAAUUAUAUUUUCUUGGUUUAAGAUUAUAAGAAGUUUAGAUAUAAGACUAGGAUUAGAUACCCUAUUAUUCUAAAUGUAAAAAUUUAACCAUAAAAUUAAUAGUUAUGAUCUUUAAAUUAAAAGAAU
rnacentral:rRNA from 1 species